rnacentral:tRNA from 1 species
AAGAAUUUAAGUUAAAAAAACUAUAGACCUUCAAAGUCUAAAUUAGAACAAUUUUUCUAAUUCUUA